GUGAGUAACACGUGGGUAACCUACCCAGAAGACUGGGUAUAACGGCUCGAAAGGGCCGCUAAUACCGGAUAAUGUCGGGACACUGCAUGGUGUUUCGAAGAAAGGGGAGGCCCGCUUUUGGAUGGGCCCGCGUCCCAUCAGCUAGUUGGUGAGGUAAAGGCUCACCAAGGCGACGACGGGUAGCCGGUCUGAGAGGAUGGUCGGCCACACUGGGACUGAGACACGGCCCAGACUCCUACGGGAGGCAGCAGUUGGGAAUCUUAGGCAAUGGGCGAAAGCCUGACCUAGCGGCGCCGCGUGAGGGAAGAAGGCCUUCGGGUCG
rnacentral:rRNA from 1 species